CAGUGUCUCAUGAGGAGACGGCCCCAAGCACAAUCAUGACCUUUCUUCUUCUUCUUCUUCUCCUGCAAUGGAACUGUGUGGACCUGCUCCAGGUCCUGCAGUCCCCACUGGACCUGGUCCUCCGUCCAGGCUCCCCCGCCAAGGUCACCUGCUCUGUCUACGGCACCAGCAGCCCGUUCACCUACUGGUACCGCCGGACCCAGACAGAGGGGAUACAUUCCUGGUUCUCCUCUUUGGGUACGGGAAGCGUGGACCCGCCCAGUCGGGACGGGUUCGGCGCCAGCAGGCCCAACGACUCCCACUUUGUUCUGGAGUCGGCCGGGGUGGCGGAGGCGGACCCCGCCGUGUGGUACUGCGCUGGGAGUACCCACGGUAACGAAAGCCAAGCAGGGGGCUGUACAAUAAAGGCUCCACUGUGA